rnacentral:rRNA from 1 species
GUUUACAACCACACCACCCUGAGCACGCCCGGUCUCGUCCGAUCUCGGAAGCUAAGCAGGGUCGGGCUUGGUUAGUACUUGGAUGGGAGACCGCCUGGGAAUACCAGGUGCUGUAAGCU